GGCGUCAUCUACCAUGGGUUUAGCUCAGCCUGGUUCACCUGUGAUUGAUGAUCCAAAGAAAGCCCCGCCAUCAACUACCACAAUUUAAACAGAUAAGAGACCGGGCUAUUAGAAUCAAUCUCGAGGUCCCAAUAUGGAGAAGCGUCUCGAGAAGACGAGGAAGCAAUCCUAGGCUGAGAAGCAUGAUGUGCUAGGCGGGUGGUUGCCAUGUAUAAAUUAACCCUUUAGUAACUAUUGUAUUAUGUUGUUAUGCCUUAUAAUUUCAAGUAGCAUGUUAUUUCUUAAGUAUCUAUUGCAUGUGUUCUGUGUACUGCUCUAUAUCAACUAUGUUCAAGCCAUGCUUGAUGCUACUUGCUUAUCAUCAAUUUCUAUAAACACUUAA